CGGGGUGAGUAACGCGUGGAUAACCUGCCUCACACAGGGGACGAACAGCUGGAAACGGCUGCUAAUACCGCAUAACACAAGUAAUUCGCAUGGAUAACUUGCCAAAGAUUUUAUCGGUGUGAGAUGGAUCCGCGUCUGAUUAGCCAGUUGGCGGGGUAACGGCCCACCAAAGCGACGAUCAGUAGCCGACCUGAGAGGGUGACCGGCCACAUUGGGACUGAGACACGGCCCAA
rnacentral:rRNA from 1 species